rnacentral:rRNA from 1 species
GACGAACGCUGGCGGCGUGCCUAAUACAUGCAAGUCGAACGCAGUGGGGACGGGGGAGUAACAAGUGGGUAACCUCCCAUCAGAGGGGAUAAAACUUGGAAACAGGUGCUAAAACGAAACGGAUGGAUGGAACAGCGGUGCAUUAGCUAGUUGGUGAGGUAACGGCUCACCAGGGCCACGAUGCCUAGCCGACCUGAGAGUGUGAUCGGCCACACUGGGACUGAGCCACGGCCCAGACUCCUACGGGAGGCAGCAGUAGUGAAUCUUCGGCAAUGGACGAAAGUCUGACCGAGCAACGCCGCGUGUGUGAAGAAGGUUUUCGGAUCGUAAAACUCUGUUGUUAGUGAAGCGGUAUCUAACCAGAAAGCCACGGCUAACUACGUGCCAGCAGCCGCGGUAAUUC